GGUCGUCCCGCCCCGAGCAGAAAACCCCAACUGUUCUCGGCGAUGCUGAAGAUGUCGCAGCAGCAAGGACUCCAGGGAACCUUCAGCACUCGUGAGGAAGACCUUCAAAACCUCUGAAGGCACCGCAGAGGUUUCUCAGAUGCCCCCCCCCUCCCCGGUUCACCGGCGCUCUCCGAUCCCUCGCAUCACGGUGCAGGACGGAGAGGACGCCGUGUCGGAGACGCCCUCCAUCACCAUCCGGAUGACUCCCCGGCUUCAGGGCGAGGAGACGCUGUCUGUGGAGGUGCCCUGAGGCAAAGACUCUGCUUCCCACAAUGCAUUUCAGCAACCUUCAGGGAAGAGACGUGGCAUGCAGACCGCAAGAGGAAGACUACAAACCCCAGUGCAUCAUGGUCUCUGUGUGUAAACUGCUUCUUCUUCUUCCUCCUUUUUUGGCCCCUUUGGAUUUCGUGUAUCAGUAAAACUGAUGAAUUGAUGGAAAAUCAUCUAAAGGGUGUUUUACUUUUCUUAACUUACUGAAUUUGUGGGCGCUUCUCAUCGUUUGAUCAAAGAUGAAUUAAGGAAGGAUUACUUUGUGAAAUUAGCGUCAGUUUUUCAAUUGAUGCAAAUAUGUUCUGCAUUUAAUGGUUUAGUGAUAAACUGAACAUCAAAUGUUAAAUGAACACAUAGACUUCCUCUUGAUCAUUUACUGCUUUGCUUACAGAGUACAUUUGAAAUAUUCUUCUCAUAUAUUUCUGGGUUUCUCAUAAAUCUACCUCUAAAAUCUCAGAGUAUUGACUUAUAUAUGUUUCUCAUUCAUUUACUACGUUCAAAUCAGGGAAUACUUGUAAAUGUACCACAACAACCUCAGAGAAUAUAGAAUGUUUUUUUAGAGUUAUUUUUCCGACUUUAACCUCAGGGGAUAUUCAAGUGUUCGUCUCGUAAAUGUACUUAUUUGAUCUCAAGGAAUUGUCCCGUAGUUUCUUGUGAAAUGUUUACUUUAACCUUGUAAUGUUGCUGCCCCCCCCCCCCAAUCCGUAAAUUGUCAUUUUAUAUUUCACGUAAAUUGGCCCGAAUUUUGCGUUUCAAGAGGUCACAUCUUCUUCCAGGGUCAAUGCUUAUCAACAACUUUUCUAACUCAUCUUGCUCGUGUUACAGGGACAGCAAUGCAUGAAAACACUCUAUUACAGCUACAUGUAAGCAAAACGUUGAUAUGCAGUAUGUGAAAUAAUAAAACGUUUUUUACCAAACUCAAA